rnacentral:rRNA from 1 species
UACGAAGGGGGCUAGCGUUGUUCGGAAUCACUGGGCGUAAAGGGUGCGUAGGCGGGUCUUUAAGUCAGGGGUGAAAUCCUGGAGCUCAACUCCAGAACUGCCUUUGAUACUGAGGAUCUUGAGUUCGGGAGAGGUGAGUGGAACUGCGAGUGUAGAGGUGAAAUUCGUAGAUAUUCGCAAGAACACCAGUGGCGAAGGCGGCUCACUGGCCCGAUACUGACGCUGAGGCACGAAAGCGUGGGGAGCAAACAGG